rnacentral:rRNA from 1 species
AAAUUGAAGAGUUUGAUCAUGGCUCAGAUUGAACGCUGGCGGCAGGCCUAACACAUGCAAGUCGAGCGGCAGCGGGAAAGUAGCCUGCUACUUUUGCCGGCGAGCGGCGGACGGGUGAGUAAUGCCUGGGGAUCUGCCCAGUCGAGGGGGAUAACUACUGGAAACGGUAGCUAAUACCGCAUACGCCCUACGGGGGAAAGCAGGGGACCUUCGGGCCUUGCGCGAUUGGAUGAACCCAGGUGGGAUUAGCUAGUUGGUGAGGUAAUGGCUCACCAAGGCGACGAUCCCUAGCUGGUCUGAGAGGAUGAUCAGCCACACUGGAACUGAGACACGGUCCAGACUCCUACGGGAGGCAGCAGUGGGGAAUAUUGCACAAUGGGGGAAACCCUGAUGCAGCCAUGCCGCGUGUGUGAAGAAGGCCUUCGGGUUGUAAAGCACUUUCA